rnacentral:rRNA from 1 species
UACGAAGGGGCUAGCGUUGUUCGGAAUUACUGGGCGUAAAGGGCGCGUAGGCUGUGCUGUAAGUCAGGCGUGAAAUCCCCGGGCUCAACCUGGGAAUUGCGUUUGAUACUGCGGCGCUGGAAUGCAGGAGAGGAUGGCGGAAUUCCCAGUGUAGAGGUGAAAUUCGUAGAUAUUUGGGAAGAACACCGGUGGCGAAGGCGGCCAUCUGGCCUGUAAUUGACGCUG